rnacentral:rRNA from 1 species
CAGUAGCCGCGGUAACACAGAGGGUGCGAGCGUUAAUCGGAUUUACUGGGCGUAAAGCGUGCGUAGGCGGCUUCUUAAGUCGGAUGUGAAAUCCCUGAGCUUAACUUAGGAAUUGCAUUCGAUACUGGGAAGCUAGAGUAUGGGAGAGGAUGGUAGAAUUCCAGGUGUAGCGGUGAAAUGCGUAGAGAUGUGGAGGAAUACCGAUGGCGAAGGUAGCCCCCUGGGCCAAUACUGACGCUCAUGCACGAAAGCGUGGGGAGCAAACAGGAUUAGAUACCCCGGUAGUCCCUGUCUCUUAUAC